rnacentral:lncRNA from 1 species
AUUCCACAUUCACUGGUGCCUACUGGGCACUGAGCACGCUCAGUAAAAAUUCCUGUCCUCAGGGAGCUCACAUCUUGGGAGAAAGUAGAGACUGAGGGCUGUGAUAACCACAUCUGGAUUGCCCCAAGGGAGAUUUUCCCUGUUCUCAGUUGCCAAAGUAGGUUCUACUUCUUCACUUACAUCUUGCUGACUCCUGACUCCUGGGAUGCCCCAUAUCAUUUUUGUUGGGAUAUCCCCAGGCUCCCCAAGAGACUAGGGGAAAGAACAACAGGCCUGGGUAGGGGAGAAUACCACCAUAACAGCUACUCCCUCCCAUCGCAGGUUUUCCAUGCAUCCUAGAGAAGACAUUCAACCCAGCUAGGUGAUAUACUUGGAAGGUCAGCAGGAAGUUUUCUAGAGAAGAGGUAACUUGAAUUGGAAUGCUUGACAGAUGAAUAGAAGUUGCCAGGCAGAAAACAGAGAAGUAGAGAGACUGUGUACACAAAGGCCUAUAGCCAUGAGAAGCCCAACAUAUUGAGAGAACAAGUUCAGAAAUAAACAAGUAGUUUCUCCAUACUGAAGUAGAAAAUUUAGGUUAGGGAUCAGCUAGAAAAUGGAAACAUAAGCAGUGUCUUGAAUGCAUGGUUAAAGGAUGGAUCCCCCUUCCCCCUACCCAAGAUUUAGAGGAGACAUAGAAUAGUCAUGAGUGAACAGAGUUGUGAUUCAGAACCAAUGAGGCAGUUUGUGCUACACAAAAUUAGUUCUUACUAGGUGCUCAAUAAAUGCUUAUAGAUGGAUGGACAAAAAGCUGGGUGAGUAAAUGAAUCAGUUUGGAAGAGUGGUGAGAGGGGAGAGACCAGAGAAAGAAGACCCAGGAGAAAAUCAGCACUGAUCCAGGGAAGGAGGAGCUACCCAUAAUGGAGUCUAGCAGUGGGAAGAGCAGCAGAACUGAGUGAACACGGGCUACAUGGCCUUAAGUUAGGUAUACUGCUUCUGUGUGUAUGUUCCCAGGAUGUUUGAGAGGGGAAACAGCUCCCUCUGCCCACUCCUUGUUGUCUCUUGAGACUUAGUGAUAACCUUCUUGUAUGUUCACCCUUGAUAUCCUGUGACGUAUCACCUCAUUUAGAGAAAAAGAUUUCUCCAUCUGGGUUGGUUCCCGGGGUAGCCCAGGGAUCUGAAUGCUAAUAUGGUAUGGGCUUUGAAACCAGAAGUAGAUCUGGCUCUACCAUGCUAAACCCUGGGCCCUUAAAUAAGAGGCAGUGCUACCUGCCUCUCAGGGCUGCUGGGAGGCUCUGUGCGUAACCUUGUAAAGGACUUGUGUAUGCCCGGCCUGCAGCAGGUGCCCAGAGAGCUCCCUCUUUGUGGCCCUGCCAACACCAGGUCUCUCCAGGGCACUGGCAGCUCUUGGCACUAGGUCUUUGUAGUCUUUG